UACGUAGGUGGCAAGCGUUGUCCGGAUUUACUGGGCGUAAAGGAUGCGUAGGCGGACAUUUAAGUCAGAUGUGAAAUACCCGAGCUUAACUUGGGUGCUGCAUUUGAAACUGGGUGUCUAGAGUGCAGGAGAGGUAAGUGGAAUUCCUGGUGUAGCGGUGAAAUGCGCAGAUAUCAGGAAGAACACCCGUGGCUAAGGCGGCUCUCUGGGACGGUACUGACGCUGAGACGCGAAAGCGUGGGGAGGCAAACAGG
rnacentral:rRNA from 1 species